ensembl:snoRNA
AGCCACUGAUGAUGAACUAAAUACAUUUUCUGACACCUCAUAUGAGAGCUAAGCUCCUGAUUCUAAUGUUAAUCUGAGGCUC